rnacentral:rRNA from 1 species
AAUCCUACGGGGCGCAGCAGUGGGGAAUAUUGGGCAAUGGGCGCAAGCCUGACCCAGCAACGCCGCGUGAAGGAAGAAGGCUUUCGGGUUGUAAACUUCCUUUCUCAGGGACGAAGAAAGUGACGGUACCUGAGGAAUAAGCCACGGCUAACUACGUGCCAGCAGCCGCGGUAAUACGUAGGUGGCAAGCGUUAUCCGGAUUUAUUGGGUGUAAAGGGCGUGUAGGCGGGGGCGCCAGUCAGAUGAG